rnacentral:rRNA from 1 species
AUGGGGUGCCUGCCGGGCAUGCGCAUGCAUGUCCAAUCAAAAUGCGACGCUGCAUGUGUCCCGAUGAAACGGCUCGACCAGAAUUAUGAGCCAAAUCAACCUGCUACUCUUGUUUCGUUUUCACAGCUUCGUAUCAUGGGCCAGAAAAUUUGCUAUGGGCCACGGGCCGCCGCCUACUCGGCUCCAACCGAACGCGCGCCGGCCGCUAAUUUGCUUGGUUUCCUUAUUUGUAUUCAACCCAUGCGCGCCGCCGCCUCCUGCCCGCCCCGCCUCACGGCGCGCCGCCGGCCACCCCCUCCGCCUAGCGCCGCCACCGCCUACCCACCUCCCAUCUUGAUCCCCGAGCGCCCGACCCGGCCGUCGUUCGUCGCCAGCACCUGCGGAUCCGGCUGCCCCUCGCCUUCCCCGUCUGCUGCACCUCCCAGCGCCGCCACCCCACCCCUGCCAUGCUCUGCCGCCUGGAUCCACAUCCCCACGACCGGAACGAGUCCUCCUCGAGGAGCCGCGCAUCCUCUGCCUGCUCCAACGCUGCACACAUCCUCUGCUUGGUUGACUCCCACCGCCUACGACCGUCGCUGCCGUCAGAUCAGGGAUUCAACUCAGGAGAGUGUACAGAACAUGCAGGUUUGUAUUGUUUCCCGUGUAUGUUGGUCAUGCAUCGGAUGUCACUCGGUUUCUAGGAAUUUCAAGAUGGCAUCAAAGAAACCAACAAACAAGGAGAGAAAACUUAAACAAGAGAGAUGUAUGAGGAUGCCGGUGUCUCAUCAAACAUGUAUUUGUGUGAGGACACCCUUCGUCCGACCUAAUCUUGACGAUCAUCCGCAGGAAUCUACAGCAGCACUUCAAAACUCCCAGGUUGUUUUCAUCAGCAAGCUUACAGCUGACCACAUGGUGGAACUCGAUAAUACAACACUAUACGAUGCACCUGAGAUUCCAAUGGAUACCUGUCAAAGCGAUGUGGUCAUCAGCAUGUAUGCUCUCAAUCUCCUGGCAGGAGAGCAUGCGGACAGCAAGGCACCAGAGGUGCAGCCGCGUGAGGAGGAAGAUCAGGGCCCACAGGCAGAGAGCAUGGAAAAGUCCUUGGUAGAUUUCUCCAUCUAUCUAUUUUCUCCGGUUCCUCCCCCUUUCUUCUUCCUCAAGCUCAUCCCCUCUCUGAUUUCCUCUCCUCCCCUCUGUUCGAUCCGUGAGGGUCGUUACAACUUGGUAUCAGAGACUGCGACGGCGCCGUCUUCGACUCCGUCUGCGCAGACCAAGUUCGUGCUCCAAGCCAUGGAGGGCGUGCAGAAAACUCUGGAGGAAUUACUGACGAAAUUUUCGUCGCUGUCGACCGAAGUCCAGCAGCUGAGUACUCAGGUGGCCGAUUUCGGCGAGGGGUUGGAUGCGGUCAAGCGUACCCAGGCCAUGGAGGCGGCGGUGCGGACGGCUCCUUCAUCCUCCACCACACACCCCGCGGCAGUGUUGGUCAACAAGGGACCCCCACUCCUCCACGUUCCACCACGGCCACCACCGCCGCCUGUUCGUCGCGACGCACACCCGGACCGCCAGGCCUCACCACCACGGUCCCCGCGCGACACCUACCGUCACAAGCCGCCGAAGCAUGAUUUUCCCCGGUUCAGCGGCGACGCCCCGCGCCUCUGGUUUGACCUCUGCCACACCUAUUUUCAGCUCUAUCAAACGCCACCAGAGCACUGGGUUUCUACAGCUGUGUUGUAUAUGGACGGCCAUGCCGCGCUAUGGUGUCAGGCGUACAAGCGUCUGCAUGGUCUGGGUGAUUGGUUUUCAUUCAUGGAGGCAGUGCAGACUGAAUUUGGGCAGGAUGAGUUUGACGGCUUGCUGCAUCGUUUGCAUCACCUCAAGCAGACUUCUACUGUCGCUGAGUACAGGCUCUCGUUUGAGGCUAUUAUGUAUCAUCUCAUUGCGCUGGAUCCGUCCUUGAAUCAGAAAUUUUUUGUCUCUCAGUUUAUCAUCGGUCUCCGGGAUGAGGUCCGCACAGGAGUGCGCCAGCACGCGCCGACGAGCGUUUCCAGAGCAGCGGCACUUGCCCGGAUUCAGGAGGAAGAAUCUGAACACAGCAAGCCGCGGGGUCACCCACCGGUGUAUACUCGCGCCAUCCCUCCACCGCCGGUGCCUGCAAUGGCUCCUGGACCAGUACAGCCACGCAUCGAUGGUGCUAAGCGCGGCCCGGAUGAUUUUGGCCGCGAACGGCAACUGCGUGAAUUCAGACGCGCCAAUGGAUUGUGUUUCAAGUGCGGUGACAAGUAUUCCAGAGAACAUAAAUGCAACAGGGUUGGUCAGCUCCUAACCAUUGAAGUGGGCGAUCAUGGUGAACUUUUGUCUGAUGAUGCCAUCCGUGCGCUUGAGUUGCUUGAUGACAAUCCAGAAGAAGCUGCAGCUUGCUAUCAAAUUUCAGUCCAUGCGGUAGCAGGAACAGAAUCGUCAGGUACCAUGAGGCUACGAGCAUUGGUUGGCAACCAGGUAAUGCUAUUGUUGGUAGAUUCUGGCAGCACGCAUACAUUCGUGAAUUCCACGUUUGCGUCGCGAGCCGGUUGCACGGUGCAGGAAGCAGAACCGGUGACAGUGCGUGUGGCUAAUGGCGAAACACUGAAAUCCACACAGCAGGUCUCUCAAUUGAAGUGGUGGUGUCAGGGACAUACUUUCAGCACUGAUAUGAGAUUGUUGGAUUUAGGGGCAUAUGAUGCUGUCCUUGGAGUUGAUUGGCUGGCCCAAUUCAGCCCCAUGAAUUGCCAUUGGGGACCGAAGACCAUGGAGUUCCGCUAUGGCCUGACAAAUAUUCAGUUGCAAGGGGUACGGGCACCUGGGGAGCCAACACUGACUGAAAUACGAGCAGAGCAACUGUCGAAGUGGAUUCAGGGCAAUGAGGUUUGGGCUUUGGCAGUUAUCCAGCCUGCAGAUUCUGUUACAAACAACACCAAGCCACUGCCACUACCUUUGCAAGCUCUACUAGAGGAGUUUGCUGAUGCGAUUCUGGAGCGCCGCCUCGUCAAGCAAGGGAACGCGGCAAUUCCUCAAGUCCUGGUGCACUGGCGCACGCUUUCGCCGGCCAGUGCAACCUGGGAGAACUACCAUGUGCUUCAACAGCGAUUUCCGGGCGUCGACCUCGGCAAUGGCGCUUCGACUCAAGGAGGGGACAAUGUCACGCCCUACUCUCCACCCGAUCAGGCAGGAGAGCAUGCGGACAGCAAGGCACCAGAGGUGCAGCCGCGUGAGGAGGAAGAUCAGGGCCCACGGGCAGAGAGCAUGGAAAAGUCCUUGGUAGAUUUCUCCAUCUAUCUAUUUUCUCCGGUUCCUCCCCCUUUCUUCUUCCUCAAGCUCAUCCCCUCUCUGAUUUCCUCUCCUCCCCUCUGUUCGAUCCGUGAGGGUCGUUACAUUAAAGUUUUGUCUUGUUCAUACUUUCUAAAGUCUGAAACUGUACUGAAAUCAGCAUAG